CAAGGGAUAGUUUAAGAAAAAAAUUUUAAUUUUGGAGAUUAAAGAUGAAAGAAUUUUUCUUCCUUGA
rnacentral:tRNA from 1 species